rnacentral:rRNA from 1 species
GUUUACUGCCAUGUCACCCUAAACAAGCCCAAUGUCCAAUCUCGGAAGCUAAGCAGGGUCGGGCCUGGCUAGUACUUGGAUGGGAGACCACCUAGGAAGACCAGGUGCUCUAGGCA